GGAAUAUUGGACAAUGGGCGAAAGCCUGAUCCAGCAAUGCCGCGUGAGUGAUGAAGGCCUUAGGGUUGUAAAGCUCUUUUACCCGGGAUGAUAAUGACAGUACCUGGAGAAUAAGCUCCGGCUAACUCCGUCCCAGCAGCCGCGGUAAUCCGGAGGGAGCUAGCGUUGUUCGGAAUUACUGGGCGUAAAGCGCACGUAGGCGGCGAAGCAAGUCAGGGGUGAAAUCCCGGGGCUCAACCCCGGAUCUGCCCUUGAAACUGCUUUGCUAUAAUCUUGGAGAGGCGAGUGGAAUUCCGAGUGUAGAGGUGAAAUUCGUAGAUAUUCGGAAGAACACCAGUGGCGAAGGCGACUCGCUGGACAAGUAUUGACGCUGAGGUGCGAAAGCGUGGGGAGCAAAC
rnacentral:rRNA from 1 species